rnacentral:rRNA from 1 species
UACGUAGGGGGCAAGCGUUGUCCGGAUUUAUUGGGCGUAAAGAGCGUGUAGGCGGCCAGGUAGGUCCGCGUGUGAAAACAUCGAGGCUCAAACCUCGAGAUGUCGGCGGGAAACCAUCUGGCUAGAGUCCGGAAGAGGAGAGUGGAAUUCCUGGUGUAGCGGUGAAAUGCGCAGAUAUCAGGAAGAACACCCGUGGCGAAGGCGGCUCUCUGGGACGGUACUGACGCUGAGACGCGAAAGCCGUGGGGAGCGAACAGGAUAGAA